AACGCAAUCUGCGCUCUCAAGAAAUUGGGAGCACGUCUGUUUGAUCAUCAUUAUCAUUUUUUAAAUAUUAAAAAAUUUAAUUAUUUUUUAAUGAUUAUGGAAAUCGCAAAAAUAUAUAUAUAUAUAUUUUUGCGAUUUUUUAAAUACAUUUUUAAGUUGUAAAAAAAAAAACAAAAAAAAUAUUAAUUUGUUUUCACUUGGUUUUUUUUAUCUUUUUUUUAAUAAAAAAAAAGAAGGUGUAAUAAAAAACAAAAAUCUAUUUAUGAUCUCAAAUCAGACGAGAAUACCCGCUGAACUUA
rnacentral:misc_RNA from 1 species